AAAGUACUCCCUCCGUCCCAAAAUUCUUGUCUUAGAUUUGUCUAGAUACGGAUGUAUCAAGUCACAUUUUAGUAUUAGAUACAUCCGUACCUAGACAAAUCUAAGACAAGAAAUUUGGGACAGAGGGAGUAGUCG
rnacentral:pre_miRNA from 1 species